GGACAUAUCUCUGGAGAGUCUCUUAAUGAGCGCCGAAGGUGCACGAAGCGAUAGCUUCUUAUCUCUCAGGCAAAAGGACAGAGGGCAAUGA
rfam:Megasphaera micronuciformis F0359 genomic scaffold Scfld15, whole genome shotgun sequence.